ensembl:lncRNA
GUUUAGCUGCCAUAAUUGUUAUUAUUGUUAAGAAAUGCAUUUGAUAUGAUUUGUAUAUUUUAUUUUGUCAAGUAAUUAUUUUUAUUUUGUUAACUGCUCAAGGGAAGCACUUUCUGUUUCAUGUUGCAAGGGGGACACUUUUACGUGUGACACAUGUGAUUUGGUUUAUGGAUGUAUUCUAAAGUUGUUCAAGACGCACAUCCAGCCAUAAGAAAGGCAUAACAUCAUACAAGGACUGAAAGGUGACGUUUGCAAAGGUAAACUCUUUUUGUUUGAAGGAACAUUCUUCUUUUUGAUCAUUUUUGUGUUUGUGACGAAGCGGACUCAUUCCCUCUUUGCGUAAAUGCGGCCAGCGAGCUGAUUUAGGCAGUCCACCACCCACCCUAAGUCUGGUUCUGUCUGAUGUCUGAGGAAUCAAGUUUUUCCUCACCAUCGUCACCAAGUGCUGCUCAGAGGGGAAAUGGAUUUCUUUCUACAAUACUUCUUUUUGCCCCAGUUAUUCAGGCCGUCUGUCCAUC